AUUUAAUUCAGGAAAUAUAACCAAAGUAAUACAUAAGCAGAUUAAUUUACCGAGUUAUGUUAUACAAGUCAAUACAUGCACCUUACAGUAUGUGCACGGUAAUUUAUAACAAAUUAUAUCUUCCUGUUUGUUCUUCAAUUGUUACUAUAGCAAGAUAGUAUACUGUAUUAUGGUGCUAUCGAGUAUAAAUAAGUAAAAUGCUGCUGCAAUAGGGUACAAUAGUACUAACACGAUGGUAUGCAGCUAUUUCAAUUAAGAUUAUCCCCGAACAAAGCGGAAAAAGUUGAAUACGAGCGCGAAAGGUUGCUGGGAAUGGCUAAAAAAUUAACUGAAUUUAUUAGCGAUUCCCAGCAGCCUUUCGCGCUCGUAUUCGACUUUUUCGCUUUGCUCGGGGACAACCUUAAUUGAAAUAGCUGUAAACCAUUAUGCAUGGUGCAAUCGAAUAUAUCAUUGCAUAUCAGAAGAUUGUCUGGAAACUAAACAGAAGUGUUCGUUAUAUUUUUUGUUUGAAUGUAUGUUAAUUUAUGCACGUACGGUCACCGUGAUUGGACUCGUAUAAUUAAUCAUAUAAUUAAGUAAUUGCCCAAUAGGAAUAGUUGAGAUUAAACGUGCAGCCACGAUUAAUAAUAUUUAAUGAAAUUGAGACAAAAGAUCUGUGCACGGCGAGGUACAUUUCAACAUCAAACAAAGGUCUUCUA